rnacentral:rRNA from 1 species
ACGAACGCUGGCGGCGUGCUUAACACAUGCAAGUCGAACGGAGAUUAUUAAUGAAGCUUGCGAUUUAAUAAUCUUAGUGGCGGACGGGUGAGUAACGCGUGGGCAACCUACCCAUAAGCGGGGGAUAACAGUUGGAAACGACUGCUAAUACCGCAUAAGCUAUUGAGGUCGCAUGACCUAAAUAGUAAAGGUGGCGAAAGCUAUCACUUAUGGAUGGGCCCGCGUCUGAUUAGCUAGUUGGUGGGAUAGCAGCCUACCAAGGCAACGAUCAGUAGCCGGCCUGAGAGGGUGGACGGCCACACUGGGACUGAGACACGGCCCAGACUCCUACGGGAGGCAGCAGUGGGGAAUAUUGCGCAAUGGGGGAAACCCUGACGCAGCGACGCCGCGUGAGCGAAGAAGGCCUUAGGGUCGUAAAGCUCUGUUGUAAGGGACGAAUGUUUAUCUGGCGAACAGUCAGAUAAAGUGACGGUACCCUACCAGCAAGCCCCGGCUAACUACGUG